CAGAUUGGUAUAAAUGCAGGUGUGUGAGGGGAAAUCAAACAUAAAUAUAUUCUUCUAAAAGAAAGAUCUGUAAAACAAAGGAGCAUUGGAUUGAACUUCAAUCCAACAGCUGGAGACACAAGUCUAUAAAAAUAGAGGCAUAGGCUGGGCCUAAUAGAAAGUAAGGUGGUCCGAUCAACUUGAUCUUACAAAUAAAAUGCUUGGCAAGUUGGCCACUAAUGUCUGACAUAAUCCUAGCCAUCCAUAUGAAAAAGAUCUAACGAUCAAGGAUGAAAACAACUUAGCAACUUGCCCGGCCAAAGCCAGAUAAAGGUCGAAUCCUCCGAUCAAAAGAUAAUCGGAUGAACGAGAUUUAAACCAAGCAACUAUAAAUGGACAAGUAGGUAAAGCACAAAGGCAGACAAGAGGUAAACCAAGAAUCCUCUUUUAAAAACAAUUUAUAUAUACUUUUAUGGCCGAUCAAUAGGGGCGAUCAUUUGCAUUUGGUUUCUCUUUGCAGUGCAAAAAGGAAAGACAUGUUAUCUCGUUUUUCCGGUGGAGAUAAUUCCACCUUUCACAUUAGACUAGUCUCCAAGUACAUAUAGUUUCUUACCAAACCUAGGUCCAAUAAAGUUUAGCAUUUUAUGGAAUUUGAAUUUGUGAGGUAAGUUUCUUAAGUCACUUACCACAACUCAACUUUUCACUUGGCCAACCAUUGAAUUUGGAAAUAAAGGAACAAAAUUAAAAUGACAUCGUUUUUAACUUCAAAUCCCAACUCUUGGUUCUUCUAUUUUUUUGACGUGGCAUGUUGUCAUUCAAAGAACUACAAAACCAUUAGGUCAAGUGUCGAUUGCUGGUUUAGAAAGGAAGGUGUGAUGUCCUGAGUUUUGAACUUGAUCGGUAUUGCAUAGUAAGAUAGUUUGUUUUACUUUCAAUGCUUUGAUUAUCAUAUUGGGUUUUUGAGAUUUAUUUUCUUCUCCUACUUAACCUCUCUUAACAUUCUUGGGUAAAAAUUUUUAACUUUUUGGCAUUGGAACUUAUUUUGGAGUACAAAAUCAAUUUAUGAGUUUUUGGGAAAAACCACUCAUGCGGAUUUUGAAACUGCUCGAGUGGAUUCACACAGGGAUUUCUGGAUUUUCUGGGCAGAAAAUCGCUUGUGCGGAUUCUGUAUUCUGGUCGAACAGAUUUUGUGAAAAUUUCUAGAUUCUUCCCUAGAGCAAACCACCUAUAGAGCAUUAGAACCCACUCGUGCGGAAUUUAAACCGCUUGUGUGGAUUUUCAGCACGUCUGUCUUGAAUUUCGAGCUAUUUUCCUCAAAACUGAUGCCAAAAAUGUUUUUGAGGCACUUUUUCACUUCUCUCUUUCUCUAUAUAUAUACUCAUACUUUCUCUUCCCUAUCUCUACAAACACACCUAAAUUCAAACUUUUCUCCAAGAUUUUAGCUCAAAUCUUCAAGAAUUUGAGAGAGUUUUUUACACCAAAUCAAAGAGGGUGACGAUGACUACAUUUACACCAAUUGAAUCGAGUUUUCAUCAACGUUGAACUUUAGGGUUUUCAUCUCCUUCCUCUUCCAAGCUUGAGUGGCAGACUAACCUGAAUGAAGUGUAAGAGCUGUUGAAUCAAGAACUGCUGGUAGCUCAAAACGGUGUAGCUUUGGCGGCGAACCGGUGGACCGAAAUAAUUGACGACGAAAUCAUUUGUACCGGCGCUGAUGAAGAACGCGGCGUUCUUGAUCAGAUUUUGGGUUCUUUUCCUUCCAAUGCCAAUCUGAAGCCUAGCUUUGUACUCCCUAAAGUAUUCCAUUUGCUUCGUCAUUGAAAUUACACCCUGAAACACAAACAAACCCAUCAAAAAUUUAAUUAUGUAAUUAAAUUAUGGGAAAAUUACCAUUCAGGGUAGAUUUUGAAAAUUAUUACACAACGGUGGAAAUUUUAUGAUUUUAAUUAUUAAUAUUUA